GACGAACGCUGGCGGCGUGCCUAUACAUGCAAGUCGAACGCAGUGGGGACGGGUGAGUAACACGUGGGUAACCUCCCAUCAGAGGGGAUAACACUUGGAAACAGGUGCUAAACCGAUACUGAUGGAUGGAUCCGCGGUGCAUUAGCUUGUUGGUGAGGUAACGGCUCACCAAGGCCACGAUGCAUAGCCGGGCUGGGGGGGAGAUCGAGCACAAUGGGACUGGGACACGGGCCAGACUCCUUCGGGAGGCAGCAGUAGGGGAUCUUCGGCAAUGGGGGGAACCCUGACCGAGCAACGCCGCGGGAGUGGAGAAGGUUUUCGGAUCGUAAAGCUCUGUUGUUAAGGAAGCGGUACUUAACCAGAAAGCGACGGCUAACUACGUGCCAGCAGCCGCGGUAAUAC
rnacentral:rRNA from 1 species